rnacentral:rRNA from 1 species
AAUGACUCUCGGCAACGGAUAUCUCGGCUCUCGCAUCGAUGAAGAACGUAGCGAAAUGCGAUACUUGGUGUGAAUUGCAGAAUCCCGUGAACCAUCGAGUCUUUGAACGCAAGUUGCGCCCCAAGCCAUUAGGCCGAGGGCACGCCUGCCUGGGUGUCACGC